GAUGAACGCUGGCGGCGUGCCUAAUACAUGCAAGUCGAGCGAAGCGGGGACGGGGGAGUAACACGUGGAAAACCUCUUCUAAGACUGGGAUAACUUCGGGAAACCGGACUUAAACAGGAGAUUUACAUAUGGAUACGCGCUGCAUUAGCUAUUUGGUACGGUAACGGCUUACUAAGGCAACGAUGCAUAGCCGACCUGAGAGGGUGAUCGGCCACACUGGAACUGCGACACGGUCCAGACUCCUACGGGAGGCAGCAGUAGGGAAUCUUCCGCAAUGGGCGAAAGCCUGACGGAGCAACGCCGCGUGAGUGAUGAAGGUCUUCGGAUCGUAAAACUCUGUUAUUAGGGAAGCGGUACCUAAUCAGAAAGCCACGGCUAACUACGUGCCAGCAGCCGCGGUAAUAC
rnacentral:rRNA from 1 species